UAGCGUAUUCGUUUGACGUUAGCGACAGAAGAAAGCACCGGCUAACUCCGUGCCAGCAGCCGCGGUAAUACGGAGGGUGCGAGCGUUAAUCGGAAUUACUGGGCGUAAAGCGCAUGCAGGUGGUUUGUUAAGUCAGAUGUGAAAGACCCGGGGCGUCAACCUCGGAAUAGCAUUUGAAACUAGGCAGACUAGAGUACUGUAGAGGGGGGUAGGAAUUUCAGGUGUAGCGGUGAAAUGCGUAGAGAUCUGAAGGAAUACCGGUGGCGAAGGCGGCCCCCUCGGACAGAUACUGACACUCAGAUGCGAAAGCGUGGGGAGCAAACAGGAUUAGAUACCCUGGUAG
rnacentral:rRNA from 1 species